AGCAAAUCCCAGUUUCCCUUAAGAAACCCUGUAAUUUGAUUUCAAUUUUAUGUUCAAGUAGUGUCCAGAUUUAGUAUGCAAAUUCAAACAAAGAGAAAGAAAUUAUCCCAAUAGUCUUCAUGGGAGGCCAAGGAUUCUGAGGGUAAGAGUUAUUUGAAUAGGGAGGGCUCGGAGGCCGAUAACAUGAAUAUUGCCGUCGGAGUGGCGUCAUCGAUGACCUCUUCACCGGCAAUUUCCUGGGCAAAAACUUUAAUGAUUCAUUUCUCUUCCAUAAUUUGCUUCAUACUUUAUACGAUGUUUAGGGGCAUAUAAUUGGGGAUUGUGUAAAUUGAUAUCGCAUUUAUCGGGUUAAUUCCACCAUUCAUGGCAUUGAAGCGUGACACCAGAAGUGGAUCGUGUAGCCAAAUUAAUUUUAAUUACUACAUUGGUAUUCUAAAAAUAUUGCGGGUAAUUUGAAUUGGAGUUUAAUCUACAAAUAUUUGGCAUAGGUGUAUUGAUGAUUUUGGGCUUGUGUCUUUAUUGUAUUGUUGUUUUGGUUUAUGUUAGCGUACAUUGUGUUUGACUACUGGCAGAAGGUGACGAGAUUAUUUGAGUACCUUCAAGGUGAUUACUACGUAGCCUUCAAGGUGAUUACUACGUAAAGGUUGAUUUUUCUAUUAUUAUUUUUUUUCCAAUUUUUUCUUUCUUUUUAUCUAUAUGCAUAUUAUUAUUAUUUUGUCUGAAUAUCUUAUGUACCUUUUGUUAACACGUUAAAAGUGCAGCCCAAAUCGAAUAGUCUAAAGAAUGAAGUCCAACUGGACAAUUCAGGAUAAAGGCCCAAAUAAGGUUAUUAAUGAAUGCAGUGGAAGCCCACGAAUGCGGUAACAUCAUCGCCCAAACUUGCAAGACACCCAAAAUCUGAGCGAAUGAAGUGCCUUGCAGUCGCCCAGGGUUAUGACCCUGUUCUCGCCCAAACUUUAGAAUCGCCCAAGAUCUUAGCAAACAUAAGAUGUUAUGGUUAUCCAAGAGUGCAGUUAUCGAACCAGUUAUUAAGUGAUCUUAUCACGUUCCACGAUUCAAGGAUGUUCAGUUGAAGACGGUUGAACGACAAAGAGUAGUGGCAGCAGUUAGAGACGACAGUUCCACGAUAAGUUGGCCACCAUGAAGAAAGUAGGCAGUUAUAAAGCAAUUAAGCAGUUUCUAAGCGGUUGAUCACGAAAAGAUCAUCAAAGGAAUAUAAAAGGAAGAAAAGACAUAGAGCAAUAGGACCCCGAAUCAAACACUCUCAAACAGAGAACGUGUAAUUUCAAUUUCUUAGUUUAGACUUAAACGUUUCUUUUCAGUACUCGUGUGCUUGCGCCAUUUGGAGGCAUUCUGUUUAAAAUUCAAAUUGUAAAGUCAUCACCAAUAAAACACCCAUUUUUGGGAUUUUGUCUCAAGAGGUUUGUUCCUUACACAAUUGUCUGAUCCCUUUUUAAUUGUUAGCGACUACCCGUGCGAAACAAUUUUGGCACGCUCGAUGGGACCUUGGUGUUUGGUGUUGAAGAUACAAAAGGUGAAACAAUAUGCCUCAAAAAUCCGAUAAGGAAGCAGCAAGUCAGGGAGGAGUCAGUCUGUAAUCGAACGAUAUGAGGAGCAGCAUAGCUCUCCACGAACAGAUGGACAGAAUUAGAGCAAUCAUAGUCGUUAUGAACCAAUGACAGAGUUGAGUCCUCGAACCAUGCGUGCAUUACUCGGAGAACUCACACAAGAUGUCGUUGAACAGGUAAAUCUACGAAAUAUUCAUAAUAUGGAAAGAUUUACCCAGAAUGGGAAUGCACAUUAUGACAACAUAGCUAAACAAUUGAAUACUUUGAACGAAAUAAUGAAUAAUUUAAUAGACCAAAUUUGUCAGCCAGUUGUGCCUCUUGCAAACCACUUUCAAACUAGGAUAAUUGUGGGACAUAAUCCCCCAGUCCUAAAUUUAAAUCAAGGGGUAGAACCACCUUUUGAUCCCUCUACUUCAAACUAAAGGAGUGGUGUAAUACCAAAUCAAAAUAGUGGCAUUGAUACAUCUAACUUGGGGAUAACCUAAAUAUAAGAGAUAAUGUCCUAAAUAAUGGGCAGAAUACCCCAUGUGUUAAUGAUGGAAUAAAUGUUCAGGCUAAUGAUAACAAUGGCCCAAAUCAUGGUAACUUUGUUGCCAAUCAAGGACCAAACAUCAUGCCUCAAGCAAAUCAACCGGUCAACCAACCUGUAGAAAUUUCAUAUGACCCCAACAUCAUGUUGAGAAAUCAGAUUAUGAAAAUCGUACAGGACCAAAUGGGUUUUGGAGUACGUCCUGUCAUUAGGCCGACUUACACAAAUCCAUAUCCUGAUUGGGUAGACCAAUCAUAUCCAUGGCUUAGAGGGUACAAAGUGCCAGAAUUCUCACUGUUUACCGGUUUAGGAGAGGUGUCUACUCUAGAACACAUAGGGCGAUUCACACUGCAAAGUGGUGAUGUAACUGAUUACCAUAAAAUGAGGCUGUUCCCUAGUUCAUUAACAGGAGUAGCAUUCUCCUGGUUCAUCAAUUUGCCAGCAAACUCUGUUCAAACAUGGCAACAAUUGGAGCAAUUGUUCCACGCUCAGUUUUAUAAGACUGAGUCUGAAGUUACUUUGACCGAUUUGGCAAACUGCGUCAAAUGCCAAACGAAUGGGCAGAAGGUUGCCUUCAAAAGUUCAAGACAGCAAGAAGUAAAUGUUUUGUACCUUUGCCCGAAAAGGAGUUUGUCAAAAUCGCUCAAGGUUGUCUAAGCUUUGAUUUGAAUAAAAAGUUCCAAGACAAGGAAUUUCCUGAUCCUUUUCAAUUGAGCGCGAAUGUGAUUAGGUAUGAACGAUUAAUAAGAGAAGAAGAACAAAUGAAAAAUUCUAAUAAGGGGACUUAUUAUAGAGACCCAAAUUUUGAUAUUCAUACCAUUAAUGAUGAGUAUUACGAUCAAAUCGAAAUGUGUUUGACCGAAUUAGUUAAAGGAGACACGUAUACUUGUCCUAUAAUGGCUAAGCCUAGACUGUCAGGCAAGGAUGAGCCUAUAAAAGAUGAAAACAUAAAGGCUAGAACAUUCUCGUUUGAUGUAACUAAAGCUAAUCUUAUAUUUGAUAAAUUAUAUAAGGAUAAGCAGAUAAAACUGAGCGAUAAGCAUAAAUUGCCAAGCCCUGAACAAGUUAAGGGUAAAAAAUAUUGUAAGUGGCAUAAUGCAUGGUCACAUUUGACUAACAACUGUUUGAUUUUUCGCCAUGUGUUACAUGAUGCCAUUGAAUCAAGACGAAUUAUGUUCGAGGAUAAGAGGAAGAUGGCAGUGGAUGAAAAUCCUUUUCCACAGCCACUUAGAGUGAACAUGGUGACGUUUGGUUUCAAAAACAAGUUGCCAAAAUUCAAGUUGGUUAUAGAUGAUGGAGAAGAAGACCCUGGACCACAUCCCAGUAUCUUUGAACGUAUCAAAGGGAAGGAGCCCAAAAAGGACGAAGACGUCCUAUGUGCAAGAUGCAAAAAAGAAGUGAGUGCAAAUGCAGAGAAAUCAGGGAUAUGGCAGCAUCACCAUCGUCCUAGUUUUUUCCCAAAUACUCAGCUUGGUAGAGGGCGGGGUACAUCGUUCUAUAAGGGACCGCCUUUUGAGAGGCAGUUCAAGCCAGUAAAUAAUGGGAGAACAUUCAGACCGCAACCUCGCCAACCAAAUGUAUGACAUUCGUUCCAGUAUAAGGCUGGAAGAGCGAUACCUUUCAAUGAGAUGACUAGAACCCAACAAAGGUGUUUUCAACGGAACUAUGGGCGAAUGAUGAGGCAACAAUAGGGAAUGCUACGUCCUAAGGCACCUAGACUACUCGAGGUAGCCAAUCAAAAUGUUCUCAAAGACAGCGGAGAGACUAGUACAGACGAACCUAUGGAAGAAUUGCCAGAGACUUCUUCUGGGAGGUCAAAGUUUGAGCGAGACAGAAGGGAUGGAGAAGAUCCAGAUCAGCCCCUUACUAUUCAGUUUCGUACGUUACCUCCGGUCGUGGCUAAUAACUAUUUACUAGCCAAUGAGUUCAAAAAUAAAGGGAAGGGAGAAGAAGAAAAUGAGGAUAACGAAGAGGAAGCGUGCAUGCUGGAAUAUGAAGAAGACCAAACUUCUAGAGAGGCCUACAAUGGUGAAGAAGAUGAUGGUAUGACAGAUAUCGAAGAGGAAAUCGAUCUGGAAGCAGAAAGAAGAAGAAGAGGAGUAUCGUAUAAUACUAUGUUGAAGCAACUACAUCGAAAGGGAGUUCGUGAAGUAGACUUAUUGGGAGAACCAUCUGGGCGUUCUUUCGAUUAUUACGUGUUGUACAAGACGCCCAAAAGGAAGAAGAGAGUGCCUCGCUCUGAAAAGUAUGGAUCACCUCCAAGAAUAAUGCCUUCUCCCAUAGGUUGGGUAACUGAAGAAGAAGCAUUAGAAAACAGUAAAAAGGAAAUUCAGGAGACAGAGAUUCAGUGCGAUAUGCUGCACGUUGACUUAUUACAAAAGGGUAACUCGACAGAGGAAAAACAGGAAGUGAAAAUAGAUGCUGCCGAAAAAGUUAUUUUUAAGCGACCAGCCAUGAAAUUGACCAAACACUUGAGGCCAUUAUACGUUAAAGCUCUAGUUAACGGCAUACCUGUGGCAAAAGUGCUUGUCGAUAAUGGAACAGCUAUAAAUACCAUUCCAUCUAGGAUGAUGAGGAAAUUUGCAAAGACGGAAGGUGAUAUGAUCCCAACAGAAGUCAUCCUGACAAGUUUCAAAGGAGGAGUAACUUCAACUAAAGGGGUUAUGCCAUUGGACAUAACUAUAGGAACAACUACUAGGACCACAGUCUUCUUUGUAAUAGAUGGUUCCACUAGUUACAAUGUGUUAUUAGGAAGAGAUUGGAUACACGAAAGUCGCUGUAUAGCUCAUCGCUCCAUCAAUGCCUAGUUUUUUGGAAUGACAGGGGCGAAGCAGAGGUGGUGUAGGCUGAUCAUAGGCCUUUUGUCGCAGAAGCAAACUCAGUGAAAAGUUCAUGUACGAAGGAAAUUAUGGACCUGUCAAAGUAGUCCAAGAUGGAGAAGAAACUCAGGUUGUCGCGCAGAGUGAAGAGCCGUUUUCGGUGGAUGCACUCACUGAAAUAUUCAGUCAGAUGAGGCCAAACAUAGUGGCCCUAGAGGAGCCAGUAAUUGGCAAAAGAAUAAUCAAGGAGUUUUGAAUGAGUUCUAAGCAAUAAAGGCAAAUGGCCGAUAUUCAGGCCUUCAAGGCCAAAUUAAUGGCUUUUAAUAAAGAAUGUAAGGACAAGGCGAAUGAAGAAGAAGCCUUGAAAGCAUUGAGAGAUAAAUUGGCAAUGUUCGAGUUGGAACAAAGUGUUGGCCGAGAAGUCAACAAGAUGGAUUGUUUAGAAGAAAAAGUGCCUACAAGGGAACUGGACGACGAAGUGAUAAGGAUCGCCAAGCCUGGAUAUGCUCAAGCACAAGACCCCCUGAUUAAAGUGAAUAUUGGCAACGAAGGAGAAGAUCACCCAACGUUCAUCAGCCAAAUGCUCGAUCAAGAGGUUAGUGAUAAAUUAAUCGCUUUAUUAAAGGAGUACAAAGAUUGUUUUGCUUGGAAAUAUGAACAUAUGCCUGGUUUAGAUAGAGAUUUGGUAAAACAUAGGUUACCAAUCAAGCCUAAUUUUAAACCUUAUAGGCAACCUCCUAGGCGUUUCGCUUCUAAUGUACUUCUUGAAAUUAAGGAAAAGAUAGAGCGAUUAUUAAAAGCAGGCUUUAUUAGAAUGGCCAGAUAUGUUGAAUGGUUGUCCAAUAUCGUGCCGGUAUUAAAAAAGAAUGGUAAACUAAGGGUGUGUGUAGACUUUAGGGAUCUAAACAUAGCCACACCUAAAGAUGAAUAUCCAAUGUCCACGGUCGAUUCUUUAGUAGACUCGACUGCCAGACAUGUAAUGUAUUCCUUCAUGGAUGGGUAUUUAGGAUACAAUCAAAUUUAUAUAGCUGAGGAAGAUAUACACAAAAUUGCCUUUAGAUACCCUGGGUCUCUAGGAUGUUUUGAAUGGGUAGUUAUGCCUUUUCGCCUGAAAAAUGCAGGAGCAACUUAUCAAAGGACAAUGAAUUUAAUUUUUCAUGAUAUGAUAGGCAAGUUUGUUGAAGUGUAUGUAGAUGAUAUAGUGGUCAAAUCUAUUAAAGAAGAGGACCAUUUUGAACAAUUAAGAUGUUCAUUUGAGCGAAUGAAACAAUAUAAACUAAAGUUGAAUCCCUUGAAAUGUGCAUUUGGUGUUAAUGCAGGGAAUUUUCUUGGUUUCUUAGUACACAAAAGGGGGAUUGAACUUGAUAAAAAUAAAGCGAAGGCCAUUUUAGAGGCCAAACCACCUAGCAACAAAAAAGAAUUGCAAAGGUUUCUAGACCAAGUAAACUUUUUAAGACGCUUUAUUUCUAACUGUAUAAGGCGAACUAAAGCUUUUUCGCAACUUUUAAAGUUGAAAAAUCUGGGCGAAUUCGUCUGGAAAGAAGAGCAUCAAAAGACUUUUGAAAGCCUAAAGACAUAUUUAUCAAGUCCACCAGUGUUGGUAUCACCAAUCCACCAAUAAAAGUGUAUGUAUCGGCUGAAAAAGAAUCAAUAGCUGGAAUGGUCGCGCAGGAAGACCAAUUUGGUAAAGAAAGGGCGAUUUACUACUUGAGUAGAUGGUUUACAAAAUGUGAAUGUAAUUAUUCUGCCAUUAAAAAAUUAUGUCUUGCAUUCUAUUUCACAUGUACGAAAUUAAGGGCUUAUUUAUGGCCCGUAACCGUUCAUUUAAUUUCUAAAGUAAAUUUGGUUAAGUAUAUGUUCUCUCGCCCUAUUUUGUACCAAAGGGUAGGCCUUUGGACAUUAGCUUUAUUAGAAUUCGAAAUACAAUACAUACCCCAAAAGGCAGUCAAAAAUCAGGCUUUGGUUAACUUUCUGGCCGAUCAUCCAUGCCUUGAUAUGCCUAAGGAAAUUGAGUUAGAGAUCAAUUCAUUCGAAUUAAAACCUUGGGUUUUAUAUUUCGAUGGAUCGAAAACCUGUAAAGGUGCAGGAGUAGGAGUAGCAUUGAUAAAUCUUUUAGAGAUUUGUUACAAGUUCGCAUUCACUUUGGACAGGAAAUGCACCAACAAUCAGGCCGAAUACGAAGCCUUAAUCGUGGGCCUAAAAUUAAUGAUAGAUAUGAGGGUAAAGAAUGUGAUCAUUAGAGGUGAUUCUCAAUUGGUAAUUCACCAAUUGAUUGGUAAUUUUAAAUGCCAAAGUGAUUCCAUUAUAAGUCAGUAUGAAAUCGCCCAAGAGUUGUUGGAAGAAUUCGACCAAAUAGAGCUUCAAUGUGUUAAUAGGAUAUAUAAUGACGUAGCAAACGAAUUGGCCCAGAUGGCCUCAGGGUACUCAAAGGUUUUAAAUUGGAAGUCUACUUGUGAGUAUGGAACAAUAUUGCCCGUGAUCCAAAGAAGGGAGAGAACAAUUGAAAUUUAUUGCAUACAAGAUGGAGAUGUAAUAGAUUGGAGGGCAUAGAUUAAAAGGUUCCUUAAAGAACCUAAUAAAGGAGAUAGUAGAAAAAUGAAGUUGCGUUUGCUAAAUUAUACACUAAUAGAUGAAGAGUCGUUUAAGAAACGCUCUGAUAGUAUAUUACUAAAAUGUAUAAGUUUGCAAGAAGCCAGGACGAUCAUGGCUGAAGUGCAUGAAGGAAUAUGUGGAGCUCAUCAAGCAGGCCAAAGGAUGAGACGAUUAAUUAUUAGGAAUGGAUAUUUUUGGCCCAAGAUGGGAGAAUCAUGUGUUCAAUAUGAAAAGAGUUGUCUAGCAUGCCAAAAGUAUGGUCCAAUACAAAUGGCGCCAGCAAAAGAAAUGACACCUAUUAUCAAACCCUGGCCGUUCAAGGGUUGGGAGAUAGAUACGAUAGGAAAGAUUUAUCCCCCAUCGUCCAAGUAACAUACCUUUAUUAUAGUUGCAACUGAUUUUUUCACUAAGUGAGUAGAAGCGAUACCUUUAAGAGAGAUCACCCAGAAGAGUGUCAUAGAAUUUAUCCGUGAUCAUAUCAUUUAUAGAUUUGGAAUUCCAUAAACCUUGAUGGUGGAUCACGGAACAUCUUUAAAUGGGGAUCAAGUGAAUAAAUUCUUGAGCGAGUUUGGAGUUAAAUUAGUGAACUCCACACCAUAUUACGCUCAAUCCAACAGACAAGCAGACUCUUCUAAUAAGAUUCUAAAAAAUAUCAAGGAAAAUGAUAGAUGAAAAUACUAGAAAUUGGCACGAAUGUCUGGACAAAGCCUUAUGGGCUUAUAGAACGUCGCCUCGGUCAAGUACCAAAAUCACCCAUUUCCAACUUACUUAUGGACAGGAGGCCGUUUUGCCUAUGAAAAUUAACGUGCAAUCGAUCAGAGUGUGUUUGCAACAUAAGUUAAGUGAUGAUGAGUAUACCAAAUUACUAAUUCAAAAUUUAUUGGAGUUGGACAAAUUAAAGUUGGACGUCCUAGAUAGAUUGCAAGUUCAAAAAUGAAGAAUGGCUAAGUUCUAUAAUAAAAAACUUAUAGCCAAGUCGUUCAGUCUGGGCGAAUUGUUUGGAAAACAAUACUCCCUUUGGAUAGUAAGGAUCCAAAGUAUGGCAAGUGGUCGCCAAAUUGGGAAGGGUCAUAUAAAGUAAAUAGUGUGUUGCCUAAUGAGGCCUAUCAUUUGGAAGAUUUAGAUGGCACCAAGUACAUGAGGUUCAUUAAUGGCAAAUAUUUGAAAAAAUAUGUUCCUUCCUUAUGAGAAAGUGAACAAAUAAAAGCGUAAUCAAAUCGUGUUGAACGAUCGUAAAUAAAAAGGGCCAGAGCGAAAUACGUUCAAAUAAGUUCCUUUAUUAUCAAACGUUUAUUACAAAGUUGCAAAAUACAAAAUACUAAAUACUCUAUAAGCUGCAAUUAAGAGCGAACUAUUCUCCCGGUCGAUCGCUGAGUAAGAGUGUGAACUGGCCUUGAUUGCCAUCCUGAUCGCACUGCUGCAAAGGCAAGCAGAGAGGCCGAGAAACACUCUCAGCAAGUAGAAAGGAAGAAGAAGCACCCUCACAUCGCCUUCCUAAAUGCAUUGCUGCAAUAACGGGCAAGGAGGCUGAGAAACACUCUCAACAAGUAAGGUGGCUUGCAGGCAUCCUCAAAAAUUGUCUUCCAUCAUCGAACUCCUUGUAAGGAACAUGGAGACGAUGGGAAGAACUUCGCUGGCCAAAGAAUAUUUCCUAUAUCUCCCAUACCAAAAGUGACAUAAAAAAAGAUGGCAAAAUAGGCGGAUCAAAUGAUCCAUUUUCAUGGAAGACGAAGGUUUUGGAUCGAUUGUCAAAAUACCAAACAAUGGCAGCAAACUGGUUUUGAAGAAGAGAAUGGAAAUGAAAAUGACAAGUGUGGAAUAUAAGUGCAUUUAUAGUGGCGUGAAGGUGAAGAGACGGAAUAUGAACAGCCACGUUCGUGCCUAGUAAUUGGAAUCAAAUGGCCCGAAGUCUUGGGGAUAAAAGAUAGAAAUACCAAGAGAAAAUGUGCGUGAAUUUUAGCAUAAAGCAGUUAAAUGCUUGGGGGUUGACGAUUAAAGACAAUGUCAAUAAAUACACAAGAAGACAAAUUAAUCAUUUAUUAAUGAUAAUGGAUGCUGGUAUGUUCAGAAUUACCAAUGGACAUCAGUACGAGGUUACAAGGGGAAAUUUAAUACGAAGUUACAAAAAGAAAAGUUAAGGCAUUAGAUGUCUUAAUUACAAUUCGCCCCAGACUGAACGAAUUCUUUCCCUAAGUCUCCCCCAAUCCUCGCUUUGCUGAGAAGAAGUGACAUUCAAUUCAGCCACAAAAUCAUCAUCAACCUCCAGCUUCUUGUACUGCUCGACCAAAGACUUGGUUCGCUCAAUUCCUUGGGAGGCAUUACAUUUUUUAGCAAUCAUUCUUGCCUUGCAGUCGUCCAUCCUUGCUUGAAGCUCUUUCAUCUGUGUAGCCAAAUUGGUCAUCAAAGAGUCUUCAAUCAUAACUUCGGAAGAGAUUUCAUUCAAUUCGUCCUCAGCUUUGUUGAUCUCCAAAAGCAAAGACUCCUUUUCAGAUACAACGCAAAGAUAUUGAGUACUUUUGGCCUUCAGUUCAACAUUUUUGGCCAACAAGGAGAGAACCUCGGAAUGUAAAACUUUCAACGUCGCUUUAAAAUCAGCAAAAAGAUUGAGCGACGGAAGUGUCAAUGCUUGCGCCAACUUCGCACUCAAAUGCUCAAGCUUAUCCUUAUGUUUGGCAGCACUAGCCUGACCGAUGUCCAUAUCCAUAAAGGACAUAUACUCAAAUAUCGAUUGCUUGAGGAACUUCAUAUCUUCUUCUGAAGAAGCAGAAGGACGACUGGUUGAAGCAGGGCGAGACGUCUUGACUUGCCCCCAGGAAGUGAACAAGUCCUAGAUGGAACGCACAAUCUUAUCAGCAUCCUGCAAAGAAAAUUGCCAAUAUUGAAGGUUUUCACUACAAUGAACAAAGUAGAAGUAAAAGUGAAGCAAAGAUUACCUCAUUAGCAAUCUUGGGAGGUGGCAUAUCCCCAGCCAAAUCUACCACCUGUGGCUCCACCACUUGUGAGGACUUCCCCUUGUCCGGGCGAGAAGACUUUGCCACAACGGGCAAACCCAUGGGAGCAUCUGCAGAACUCAAAAAGCAACAAAUUAAAAACCAAUAGCACAUGCAAAGGUAAAACAUCAAAAAAUAUAUUACCUUCUGGUUCGACGUUUGGGGGGUUGACGCCCUGGGAAGAAGGUGGCUCAUCCAUUGGAUGUGAUGAGGAUUCCAGGAUUGAAGGUUUCUCUUUAAGCGUAGUCCCUUCAUCAGCUGGUUUGGAUGAAGUAGCCUCAGCAGAGGAUGAUGGAGCAGGAACUGCCAACACCAAAGCCUUCAAAGGAGAGGCUGAACUUUUCUGAGAAAUCCAAAUAAACCAUCAGCACAUAGAAAAAUUUCAAGUAUAGAAAGGUAUGCUUGUGAGUAAACUAAUUUAAUUACCUUUCUCUUGAGGAUGAGAGGAGUAUCAUCAUCAUCCUCCAAAAUAGGAGAUGUUGAAACUGGCCGUUUGCGGCUUGGGGCACUCUUAGCUGCAAUGGGCUUGGCAGGAAGAAAAGUAGAUGGACGAAUAGACUGUUUAGCACGAGCAGGGAAGGAAGGACUCCUAAUGGACACAGGGGGUGACCAAAAUAGGAGAAGUAGAAGAAAUAUUUGGCUGGUCCAGUGAAUGGAAAGCAGGAUUGGUAUUAGUUGCAAACAAUCUGCACUUCACUGAUGGCCAGAGUUGUUCAAAAAGGGGAUGGAUGGCAUGGCUAGGAUUGAAGGGGGCUAAUGAAAAGUUACUCGUCAAAAGAAUAUUGCGAGCAUCUAUAGCUUCUGCCUCUGCCUUAUUAAUGGUGUGGAAGCGAUCUAUCAAAUUUCUUGAAUAACAAGGGGGAACAAGCCAAGUUUUGCCAAAACCAAGUUGACGAGCAAAAAAUUGGGGAGCAUAUAUUUCAACCCCAGCUUUGGCAUUGAUUCUAGUAAAAAUGUCAUGAAACAACUCCCUCCCGGUCAAAAAUUGAACCCAAACGAGUAGAGAGGUGCUCGCACUGUUAAGGGUGGAUGAGGGUUGCACAUAAUCUAGAGUUAAAAAGGGAGAAAAAGGAAAGAAAGAAGGAAUUAAAUUCAAAGUAUAAAAGAAUGAAAAGAUGUCCCUUCUGGACAUAUUUACAUGGCUCAGUGGGUCAAUAGCUAGCAUAUAGCAGCUAGCAGAAUGGAGAGAAAAGGAUAGAGCACCAAGUGAUGGAAAAUAGGCUCUCAACCACAUUCGAAUGGACCAAAGAGGCCCACUGCCAGUGAGAGAUGCACCAUUCUUCAAUUGGAAUUGGAGAGAAGCCAUGCCUCUAUAGAGGGCAGCCAAAAAGAAAGAACACAAAUUCAGAGGCCUACCACACGCCAAUUCAUGCGCUAUGGGUAAAUAGCUCAUAGAAGGCUUCAUGCUUGGCACACACAGAAUAUAUUUACAAAGUCAAAUCUGAAGAAAGGCCACACGCUCAGCAUGGGAAGGCUUAGCGCUCGAGUGAUUAUAACAGCUUUGCAGGCUUGAAUAAGACUCGGUGAGUUUUUUGUCAAAUUUUGGGGUGACACCAGAAAUCAAAAUACCAGAGAAAAUGGUAUCGCCCAAAUGUGACAGAUUUACUAAGGCCCCAACAUCCCUCAAAGUAAUGGACAUUGGAUCAAGAGGGAAAACAAAAGUAUCAUACUCAGAGGACCAAAAACUUAAAGCAAUAGGGAAAAACACUGGAUCAAAAAUAGGGGGUUGAAGAGAGAUUUCUAACAAAUCAGAAAUCCUAACACUAUCAAAAAUUGCCUUGGUAGGACCAUGGCCCACAAGACAAGCAUGCCAUCUACGGAAAACAACAUCAGAUUUAGGUCAAGUGUGAAUACCUCUUUCACGAAGCGGCCUCAGCGGCAAAGAGUUUAGAAAUGGAGGGUCUUGAGUACAAAGGAACACUGGCCCACCGCCACUUGUUCGACGGCCUCGAUGUUGUUGAAUGAAGGACCUAGAUAGAACUCAAUGAGUUCGGCAUUAGCUGGUGCAAGGAAGUUCGGAGUUAUAUAUGGUCGAGUGAGGAUUUUCUGGAAGUCUUCGAAACUGAAAGAGUCACUAAAUUGGGACUGUGAAGCAGCCAUUGGGAACGAAAUGAAGUUUUGUUGAAGUUUGCUUGAAAAACGUAGCAGAGAAGCAAGAAGAUUAACAGUAAUAUUGCGAGAGUGAAGCACGGAACAAUGAGGCGUAAUUUAGUGGUGCGAUGAAAUGGCGUGUAUUUGGGGGUUAUAAGGGUUUGCAACGUCGCGCCUUUUCAGGCUAUGGAAGAAAAUAAUGAUUGAAAUUCUUGGAAAUUUCAAAUAUUGCUGAGAAACACAAAGUGAAUACGGCAAAAAUUAAUAAUUUGUAUUAAUUCUGCCAUAUUGGGGGGUAAUUGUUGACAGCUAAAAGUGCAGCCCAAAUCGAAUAGCUUAAAGAAUGAACCCCAACUGGACAAUUCAGAAUAAAGGCCCAAAUAGAGUUAAUAAUGAAUGUAGUGGAAGCCCACGAACGCGGUAACACCAUCGCCCAAACUUGUAAGACGCCCAAAAUCUGAGCGAAUGAAGUGCCUUGCAGUCGCCUUGGGUUAUGAUCCUAUUCUCUCCCAAACCUUCGAAUAGCCCAAGAUCUUAGUAAACAUAAGAUGUUAUGGUUAUCCAAGAGUACAGUUAUUGAAGCAGUUAUUAAGUAAUCUUAUCACGUUUCACGAUUCAAGGGUGUUCCGUUGAAGACGGUUGAACGACAAAGAGUAGUGGCAACAGUUAGAGACGGCAGUUGCACGAUAAGUUGGCCACUAUGAAGAAAGUGGGCAGUUAUAAAGCAAUUAAGCAGUUUCUAAGCGGUUGAUCACGAAGAGAUCAUCAAGGGAAUAUAAAAGGAAGAAAACACAUAGAGCAAUAAGACCCCCAAACAUUCUCAAACAGAGAACAUGUAAUUUCAAUUUCUUAGUUUAGACUAAAACAUUUCUUUUCAAUACUCGUGUGCUUGCGCCCCUUGAAAGCAUUUUGUUUAAAAUUCAAAUUGUAAAGUCAUUGCCAAUAAAACACCCCUUUUUGAGACUUUGUCUCAAGAGGUUUGUUCUUUACACAAUCGUCUGAUCUCUUUUUAAUUGUUAGCGACUACCCGUGCGAAACACCUUUAUUUUUAUUGACAGGACAAAGUCGUCAUGCCGCAUUCAAUCUAAAUUAAUGGUAGAGGCUUUCAUCAACGUUUUUGAUGUUGAAGAUAAUGAUAUUUGAUGCAGCGGUGAAUACUACAUGCUUUUUUUCUUAAUCGUACAAGACACAAAGAUGACAAUGACAUUUUGUAUCUAAGAAUUAUCAUAACAGGCUAUAUAUUUUAUUUCUAGGUUAGUUUGAGGAACCAAUGCUCUUGUAGUCAGUUUCCUUGAAGAAAAAAAGGAAUGAGGAAGUUCCUAACAUAAUUUGCGUUGGUAGACUAAAAAUACGCAGAAGAAAGUUUAGUGGAUAUAAAAUGCUCUUAACUUGUAUGGUCUUAGGGUUAAAAAAAAAACAUUUAUGUAGAAUGUAGGACGAUCACGAAACAACAACAAAAUAGAAUGAGCUUGAUACCUAAUUAUUUUAGUUUCUUAAAUACACCCCAAUUCAAUAAAAAUAUCUUGUUACUUUUAGAAUUAGUUUAAAUACAUUCCUGACUAAGAAUAUUACAAUUAGAAUUCACUGAAUGCCGUUUUUGUAGAAUCUUCAAAAACUUGUUUUUCAAAAAUCAUUUUCUUGGUAAAUGAAAACAUGACUCAACUUUCUGCACAACUGAAACAGAACUUUUAACAUUAAAAGUAGUAAUUUCAACCUCAAAAUCCUAAGAUACUAUUUCGCGCGAGUUAGUCGCUAACAAUUAA
rnacentral:lncRNA from 1 species